AAUUGAAGGAUGUGGGAUGUUAGCCUUGAAUGGGCAAAAUUGUGAAUUGGUCUUCAUGUUGAUUAUGGGCUUAUGCUUAGCUUAGUUUGUAUAGUUGAAUGUUGUUAUUAUCAUUGUUAUUGUAUUGUUAAUUGUUGGAAUAUGAGGAUGAUGAAGAUUGCCAUGGAAAGAGGGUAAGUUGAUCAAACUUGAUAAAUAUUGUAUAAUUGGCAUGGAAUUGAG
rnacentral:lncRNA from 1 species